CCAAAAACUUAGGUCAGCUGGGAGCAUAGCGACAUGCAGUUCCCACUGUGUGAUGAGCAUCUAUCUGCUCAGGGGCUGGACUGUGCGGUUGGGAGAUCUUCAUCCAUGCCCAUCUCAUGCCUUGACAUUCUCAGUUCAGAGGAUGGAAGGGCACUCGACUGCCCGCACACUCUGCCUCACAGAGGACUUGCAUAUGGACACACCUUCAGCACCUCGCAUGCCCCACAGGGGGCUCCUCUGCCCAUGCCAUCAUGCUUUGUUUCCGGUGGCCUCUGGAUGGAUAUAUUGAGAGAAGCACUCAUACAAGGAGAAGAUUCUGUCUUGCUUCUGCUAUCUUAGCUUCAUGGCCUCUGAGGUCAGGCCAG
rnacentral:lncRNA from 1 species